GCUGGGUGCGGUGGUGCAUGCCUGUAACCCCAGCAACUCGGGAGGCUGAGGCAGGAGGAUUGUGAGUUCAAACUCAGCCUCAGCAAUUUAGUGAGGCCCUAAGCAACUCAGAGAAGCCCUGAGCCACUCGGCGAGACCUUGUCUCUA
rnacentral:sRNA from 1 species